UACGGGGGGGGCAAGCGUUGUUCGGAAUUACUGGGCGUAAAGGGCUCGUAGGCGGCCAACUAAGUCAGACGUGAAAUCCCUCGGCUUAACCGGGGAACUGCGUCUGAUACUGGAUGGCUUGAGAUUGGGAGAGGGAUGCGGAAUUCCAGGUGUAGCGGUGAAAUGCGUAGAUAUCGAGAGGAACACCUGCGGCGAAGGCGGGUUGCUGGGCUGACACUGACGCUGAUGCGCGAAAGCUAGGGGAGCGAACGGG
rnacentral:rRNA from 1 species